GUUACAUUGAUUAGGCGACGCUAGGCCGCUGACAUUCUUGUAAUCAAAAGUGUUUGUUUGGCACGGCUUCGGGACGCACGAGCUCUCACCCGAGCGCCCCUCUGCCGUUGUGGUGCACAGGGGGUUUGCGAAUGGUUUUGGUCGAGGGGCGCCUCCGUCCCGCUGCACGCCCGAGUGGGGCGGAGCUGGGCCGGGGCACCCCCGCCAGAGAUACGUUAAUGAUCCUUCCGCAGGUUCACCUACGGAAA
rnacentral:misc_RNA from 1 species